rnacentral:rRNA from 1 species
UCGCUGAAGGAUCGGCCCGCGUCUGAUUAGCUAGUUGGUGAGGUAAUGGCUCACCAAGGCUACGAUCAGUAGCUGGUCUGAGAGGAUGAUCAGCCACAUUGGGACUGAGACACGGCCCAA